AGUGAACGCUGGCGGUAGGCCUAACACAUGCAAGUCGAACGGCAGCACAGUAAGAGCUUGCUCUUACGGGUGGCGAGUGGCGGACGGGUGAGGAAUACAUCGUAAUCUACUUUUUCGUGGGGGUUAACGUAGGGAAAGUUACUCUAAUACCGCAUACGACGUACGGGUGAAAGCAGUGGAUCUUCUGAGCUUGCGCGAUUGAAUGCGCCGCUGUCGGACUAGCUAGUGGGCGGGGUAAAGGCCCACCAAGGCGAGGAUCGGUAGCUGGUCUGAGAGGAUGGUAGGCGACACUGGAGGUGAGCCACGGACCAUAGUCCUACGGGAGGGCGCAGAGGGGAAUAUUGGACAAUGGGGGGAAGCAUGAUCCAGCGAGACCGAGUGUGUGAAGAAGGCGUUCGGGUUGUAAAGCCGUUUUGUUGGGUAAGAAAAGCAGCAGGUUAAUACCACGCUGUUGUGACGGUACCCAAAGAAUAAGCACCGGCUAACUUCGUG
rnacentral:rRNA from 1 species